rnacentral:tRNA from 1 species
UCCUUCCUGGCUCAGCUGGUUAGAGCAUUCGGCUGUUAACCGAAAGGUCGCAGGUUCGAGUCCUGCGGAAGGAGCGA